rnacentral:rRNA from 1 species
CUCUGUGGAGACGCGAAACACUUGCCAGGUGACCCAUCCGUCCUCCCACGGUGAGCUUUCUUUUCACCAUAAUCCACAUCUCAGCAUCGCUGGGGCUUGGACCUCUCGACUUCUCGCGUUACUCGGAGCGGGGGCCCAAAUUUGAAAAAUGCAGCUCACCCUACGUACUGUCCUUGUUGUGAGUUCGGCGCAUUAAAGCAAAAACCUGGGGUGU